rnacentral:rRNA from 1 species
GUCUACAGCCAGACCACCCUGAAAAUGCUCAGUUUUGUCUGAUCUUGGAAGGUAAGCAGGGUCGGGCCUGGUUAGUCCUUGGAUGGGAAGAUA